rnacentral:misc_RNA from 1 species
GAUGAAGAACGUAGCGAAAUGCGAUACGUAAUGUGAAUUGCAAAUUCAGUGAAUCAUCGAGUCUUUGAACGCACAUUGCGCCCCCUGGUAUUCCGGGGGGCAUGCCUGUCCAAGCGUCAUUGCUGCCCUCAAGCACGGCUUGUGUGUUGGGCCCCGUCCUCCGAUCCCGGGGGACGGGCCCGAAAGGCAGCGGCGGCACCGCGUCCGGUCCUCGAGCGUAUGGGGCUUUGUCACCCGCUCUGUAGGCCCGGCCGGCGCUUGCCGAUCAACCCAAAUUUUUAUCCAGGUUGACCUCGGAUCAGGUAGGGAUACCCGCUGAACUUAAGCAUAUCAAUAGCGGAGGA